CAAUCCACAAGAAAUCAUUACUUAUACUCAACUAUAUGUGGAAACUGUUACAAGAUUUGCAAGAUUUAAAACAAAAACAGAAAAGAAAAAAUAACUCUCCACAAAAAAAAAAAUGUAAACUGCAACAUCAUGCUUCAAGAGCAUUAUCUUAUACAAGAAAAGAAAAAUGGUUACAACAGCUUUACUCACCUUUUAACUUCUGCUGGGUCUCUAACUUUCCUAAUCUUAUAUUUAAAAUGUAAAUUACAGGACCUACAAAAUUUACUAGGCUUAUGAAAAACCAGUUAAGACAAAAGGAAAAAAGUGUCUCUUUAAAAUCCAAACUGCUUGGCUGGCUGCCUUAUUUGUGUUCAGCUGGAUUUCUUGACCAGAUCCUCCCUAAUGUUACAGCACAGAAAGAGAAAAGUAGAAACAUUCUAAAUGAAAAGCUUUCUUUUUGAAAUAAGUUUUUUUCUUAAAACUUUCACAGACUUCCAACUGGCUCUUAUCUGAGCUAAAAGCACACUCUGACCUGAUAAAAAAAAAGUUAGUAUUACGGCGAUAUAAGUUUUUAAAUAUUCAUAUAAGUUGAUGUAUUUUUCUGAUCAGUCUGUUUUAUCUAACUAUAAAAGUUUUUACAUACUGUCUUUAUCCAAAGGCCAAUUUCUCCAGAGUUAACUCUCAAAUACAUUCAAAAAUUUCUUUUAAUAAAUCCUCAGGAGGAUAUAAAUAUGGUUAUGAUGGGAAUGGGUCUGAUAAGUAUCAAGGACAAAAAUGUCUGCUACCCUGAAACUCUUGAUUUCAGUGUCCAUGAUAGCUGUUAGACUUAUAUACCUGGCAUUUCCAAUUGUACAGGGCUGUCUUCUGUCUAUAUAUUAUGUACUUAAUAUCAAAAUUGACAUUUAGACAAAUGAGCACUCAUAAAUAAAAAUUUAAAUAAUUAAGUGAAUCCAAAUAAUUUAAUUCAAAUCAAAUAAUUAAAUAUAUGGAUGUCUCUAAAGUUCUGACUUAUGGGUUUUUCUAGGUGACCAAACAAUAAAGUCUUAAUUUCUUAAAAAUAUCCAAAAUAUAAUAUAAUGCUCAUUACUUCUAAAUUUUUUCAACAAAACAGGGAUGAU
rnacentral:lncRNA from 1 species